AUGGUCAUCCAAGAAAUGAAAAAGUACCUUCCAGGGGAGAGACACAGUAAACCCAGCACCCUGGACGCCCUCAACUAUGCGCUUCGCUGUGUGCACAGCGUGCAAGCAAACUGGAUUUUUCCCGAUUCUCUGUCCAAGCGGAGCACCUCAGGCAGACAUGGCCGUGUACAGUCUGGAGGAGCUGGCCAUCGUUGCUUCUGAGCACACUUCCAAGGACACAGUAAGAAUUCAUGGACUUUGCCAUCUCAACCUGAGUGAUUUUUCCUAAAGACCUUCUCUAGGUGCAGAUUUUUAAAAAUAGCCACAGAAAGGUUCACUAGCUGAGGUAAACAAGGAGAAAACUGCUAAAUAAAUGGCAGUGUAGUCGCCACCCUUGCCAGAGAAAGCGUCUAGAAACAGAAGCGGCAC
rnacentral:lncRNA from 1 species